CAGAUGGAAUCAUGCCAAGCAAAGAACCACAUUAUUAAAUGGAGAGUAUAAGGAAGAGAAAAUGGUCAUAAGAGAUGUAAUAAAUAUGAGCAUUCUAAAUCACACAUUUUAGAGUACAGUUGCCCUUGGUACAGUAAAAUGAUAUGAUCUCUUACUACACUAAUGAGAUGCAGCCUAUGCGGUUUAUUUUUGAUAAUGACAUAUACUGAGCAGAUUUCUCACUUUAUAUCAGAACGAUCAAUUGGCAUUUUGAUAAGAGGAACAUUUAAAAUGUGGAGCAGUCACCAUAGAAACUAG